rnacentral:rRNA from 1 species
UACGUAGGGCGCGAGCGUUGUCCGGAAUUAUUGGGCGUAAAGAGCUCGUAGGCGGUCUGUACGCGGGUGUGAAAGACCCGGGGCUUAACUCCGGUUCUGCAUUCGAUACGGGCUAGCUAAGAGUGUGGUAGGGGAGGAUCGGAAUUCCGUGGUGUAGCGGUGAAAUGCGCAGAUAUCAGGAGGAACGACCGGUGGCGAAGGCGGGAUCUCUGGGCCACUACUGACGCUGAGAAGCGAAAAGCAUGGG